UACGUAGGGGGCUAGCGUUGUCCGGAUUUAUUGGGCGUAAAGCGCGUGUAGGCGGCCAUACAGGUCCGUUGUGAAAACUGGAGGCUUAACCUCCAGACGUCGAUGGAAACCGUAUGGCUAGAGUCCGGAAGAGGAGAGUGGAAUUCCUGGUGUAGCGGUGAAAUGCGCAGAUAUCAGGAAGAACACCGACGGCGAAGGCAGCUCGCUGGGACGGUACUGACGCUGAGGCGCGAAAGCGUGGGGAGCGAACAGG
rnacentral:rRNA from 1 species